UACGUAGGGGGCAAGCGUUGUCCGGAAUCAUUGGGCGUAAAGCGCGUGUAGGCGGCCCGGUAAGUCCGCUGUGAAAGUCGGGGGCUCAACCCUCGAAUGCCGGUGGAUACUGUCGGGCUAGAGUGCGGGAGAGGCGAGUGGAAUUCCUGGUGUAGCGGUGAAAUGCGCAGAUAUCGGGAGGAAUACCGAUGGCGAAGGCAGGUCUCUGGGCUGACACUGACGCUCAUGCACGAAAGCGUGGGGAGCAAACAGG
rnacentral:rRNA from 1 species